GGUUUUGCACAGCAGCAGUAUCGUAGCUAGCGAGGUUUAUCCCAGACACGAUUAUUGCUAAUUGAAAUUUAAAGCCACUUAUAAUGUAAAAGCUGUCUAGAGUCGCUUUGGAUAGUCAGAUGGGUAGCAUAUAAAUUUAAGAAUGAAUCAAUGAAUG